AUGCCGGCGCACUUCCGGUGCCCGAUCUCGCUUGAGCUCAUGAAGGACCCGGUCAAGGCACCUACGGGCAUCAACAAUGGCCGGGAGAGGUGGCUGGUACGGGGGCGCGACACGUGCCCCAUCACCGGCGGCCCUGUGUGGCUCGCCGACCUCGUCCCCAACAACGCCACGCGCCACAUGAUCCAGGACUGGUGCGUCGCCAACCGAGCCGAGCAGGUGCCCGUCGCCGAGGCCGACGCCGCCGAGGUGCUCGCCGCCUUCGUGCGCGGGAACGCAGCGGCCUGCGGGCAGGGGGCCGCCAGGGCCAUUGGGAAGGAGAGCGACCGCAACCGCCGGUGCCUCGUGGCUGCCGGCGCCGCCCGCCAGCUCGCCUCGGCUUUCCGGAGCCUCACCGGAGAGCCCGUGGAGAGCACCAGCGCCGCAGCAUUGAGCGCGCUGGGGACGAUCUUGGCGGCCCUUACCAUGUUCUUCCCGCUCGACGACGAGGCCCGGCGCUGCAUUGCCUCCCAGGCGUCUCACAAGUCACAAGACCCUUGUCUCGGUGCUCUCGCACAGCCACCAAGGCCGCGCUCAUCACGGCCUACUACCCCAUCUCCAGCAGCGACCGCCUGCUUCGCCGACGUCGUUGUGGAGCUCGUCGUGGACACUGACAAGGGGACAAGCGAGAAGGCACUGGCCGUGCUCGAUGGCGUCCUGUGCGCCGACACCGGCCUCAGGUCCGCGUGUGCGUACGCGCUGGUCAUGCCGGUGCUGGUCAAGAAGAUGUUCCGCGUGUCCAACAUGGCCAAGGAGUUUGCCCGUCUCCGUGCUCUGGCACCUCUUUUGUGCCGCGGACACCGGCGCUGGCGCGCGCUGCUACGAGGCACUGCGUGUGGGCUCCUACCGGAAGCUGCUCCAAGUGUGCUGAGGCGGCAUGACCGAGGAUCGGGCCAGCGAGCUGCUCAAGCUGCUCAAUGGUUUCAGGGGCAGCGUAGAGUACAUCGAGACGAUGGACUUCAAGGGGCUCAAGAAGUCAAGAGGCCAUUUUGA
rnacentral:rRNA from 1 species